GUGCUCACUUCGGCAGCACAUACUAAAAUCAGAAUGACACAGAAAGAUUAGCACUGCCCCUGCACAAGGAUGACACACGUAACAUGGCAUAGACAAAAACAUCU
ensembl:snRNA U6 U6 spliceosomal RNA